AUGUAUCAGGUACAGUGUGAUGCCCAAAAUGGUCCCACUAUAUCUGUAAGGCAAUAUUGACCACAGAGAGACUCAAAUAUCUUUCUCUGUGUGUGUGUGUGUGUGUGUGUGUGUGUGUGUGUGUGUGUGUGUGUGUGUGUGUGUACACAUAUUCACCGUGUCCCUCUCUGGGUUUUAGGGACAGUGCUGUGAACGAGGAGUCCUCAGCCAGGAGCACAGGUCACAUGACAGAUGUAUGUAGUGAUGAAACUGACAACUCACCUUCUCUCCAACCUCACACUCUGAGAGAGUUUGAACAGGUGAGCUCUCCUCUCUAAUUUAAUGCUCUAAACUUUGGAGCCUCAUUAUAUUAACUCAUUGUUGCCAUCUUGUGGGUCCAUAAUGUACUGUAAUGAAGCAGACUGAAGACCAGUCUGUGAGGGAUGAUAAAGCCUGGAUCUUACAGUAAAUGAUUCAGUCUGGAUGUUACAGUAAAUUAUUCAGCCUGGAUGUUACAGUAAAGGAUUCAGUCUGGAUGUUACAGUAAAGGAUUCAGUCUGGAUGUUACAGUAAAUUAUUCAGCCUGGAUGUUACAGUAAAGGAUUCAGCCUGGAUGUUACAGUAAAGGAUUCAGUCUGGAUGUUACAGUACAUUAUUCAGCCUGGAUGUUA
rnacentral:lncRNA from 8 species